GACGAACGCUGGCGGCGUGCUUAACACAUGCAAGUCGAACGGUGAAAGCGGAGCUUGCUCCGCUGGAUCAGUGGCGAACGGGUGAGUAACACGUGGGCAACCUGCCCCUCACUUCGGGAUAACUCCGGGAAACCGGGGCUAAUACCGGAUAUGACCUCCUUGGGCAUCCUUGGAGGUGGAAAGUUUUUCGGUGAGGGAUGGGCCCGCGGCCUAUCAGCUUGUUGGUGAGGUAGUGGCUCACCAAGGCGACGACGGGUAGCCGGCCUGAGAGGGGAAACGGGCAGAAUGGGACUGAGACACGGCCCAUACACCUACGGGUGGCAGCAACAGGGAAUCGUACGCAAUGGACGAAAGUCUGACGUCGCAAUGCCGCGUGGAGGAUGAAGGCCUUCGGGUCGUAAACUUCUUUUGACCAGUUAGAGAUGACUAGUAGAAUAAGCAACUGCUAACUCUGUGCCAGCCGCCGCGGUAA
rnacentral:rRNA from 1 species